rnacentral:tRNA from 1 species
UCUCUGUCCAGUGGUUAGGACUCUGUGCUCCCAAUGCAGGAGGCCUGGGUUCAAAUCCUGGUCAGGGAA